ACGGGAGGCAGCAGUGGGGAAUAUUGGACAAUGGAGGCAACUCUGAUCCAGCGACGCCGCGUGAGUGAAGAAGUAUUUCGGUAUGUAAAGCUCUAUCAGCAGGGAAGAUAAUGACGGUACCUGACUAAGAAGCCCCGGCUAACUACGUGCCAGCAGCCGCGGUAAUACGUAGGGGGCAAGCGUUAUCCGGAUUUACUGGGUGUAAAGGGAGCGUAGGCGGCCAGACAAGUCAGAUGUGAAAACCCGGGGCUCAACUCCGGGACUGCAUUUGAAACUGCCAGGCUUGAGUGCAGGAGAGGCAAGUGGAAUUCCUAGUGUAGCGGUGAAAUGCGUAGAUAUUAGGAAGAACACCAGUGGCGAAGGCGACUUGCUGGACUGAGACUGACGCUGAGGCUCGAAAGCGUGGGGAGCAAACAGGAUUAGAUACCCUGGUA
rnacentral:rRNA from 2 species